CUCCGCUCUCCCCCUCCCGCUCUUCCAGAGUCGAUCCCGGCUCGGGGCCGCGGGGAGAGGUUCUCCGCAGAGCAGACAAAGCCCACAGCCGCGAUGCGGGGAGAACCCGGUUCUGCGCGCUGUGGGGGCCAGGAUGGGGUGCCGGGCUGGAGGGUGGGACCCCCUGGCAAAAGACGGGGUCCGCUCAUCCUCAAGCGGCAAGCCAUCCCCCCUCAUCCCCUCCCGCCCCCCAGUCUCGGAGAUCUGAGAGGCACCGACUGGGAGUUCCAGGUCAUAGCCCGGCUGUCUGAUGCCCCUUAUUGCCAGUACUCCAGGGGCACUUCCAUGCCCUUCCAGCCAGUGGUUUCCACGCCUGCAGUUUUCUUCACCUGGAA
rnacentral:lncRNA from 1 species